CAUGGUUGACAGUUUGAAGUUCUUGCAGUGAACACUACAGGCCCAUCCUGGCUCACAACCAGGGACCCAUGAUGUUAAAUUGCAGUUCUUGUUAGGCUCUAGAUAACUGGCACUUGUAGAUCUCUCUAAUAAACUAUCUAAAUAAAACUUCACUUCUGCCGCGGUGCACAACCGUUUCGUAAUAUCUCCUUCUUGGUAAUGCAAGAAGUCAAGAAGCCCAAAUCAGAUGAAAAAUUAAAUGCCUGAUUCCAAUCAGC